rnacentral:rRNA from 1 species
GGGGGGGGGGGGGGGGGGGGGGGGGGGGGGGGGGGGGGGGGGGGGGGGGGGGGGGGGGGGGGGUGCGGGGGUGGGGGACGGGGGGGGGGCACGUGAGGAGCCUGCGCGGGAGUGUGGGGUAGCUUCGGGAGAAUGGGGCGACUACCGGCGGGGAGCUCCUGCUGCAUGGUGGGGGUGGGCAAGUUUCGGCGGGUGGGGAGGGCCUGCCGGCUUCUCAGCUUGUUGGUGGGGUAGUGGCUUACCCAGGCUUUGACGGGUAGCCGGCCUGAGAGGGUGACCGGCCACAUUGGGACUGAGAUACGGCCCAGACUCCUACGGGAGGCAGCAGUGGGGAAUAUUGCACAAUGGGCGGAAGCCUGAUGCAGCAACGCCGCGUGCGGGAUGACGGCCUUCGGGUUGUAAACCGCUUUCGCCUGUGACGAAGCGUGAGUGACGGUAAUGGGUAAAGAAGCACCGGCUAACUACGUG